rnacentral:tRNA from 1 species
GGCCCUAUCGUCUAGUGGUUAGGACACUAGGUUUUCAUCCUAGAAACAGGAGUUCGAUUCUCCUUAGGGCUGCGA